GACGAACCGUGCGAACGUUGUUCGGAUUCACUGGGCUUAAAGGGCGCGUAGGCGGACGGUCAAGUCGGGGGUGAAAUCUUUCAGCUUAACUGGAAAAGUGCCUCCGAUACUGAUCGUCUCGAGGGAGGUAGGGGCAUGUGGAACUCCCGGUGUAGCGGUGAAAUGCGCAGAUAUCGGGAGGAACACCGGUGGCGAAGGCGGUUCUCUGGGCCUGUACUGACGCUGAGGAGCGAAAGCGUGGGGAGCGAACAGG
rnacentral:rRNA from 1 species